rnacentral:misc_RNA from 1 species
GGCCAGGAUGUCAUUCAGUCCCACUCUAUUUUUGAACAAGGUCCCACAGACAAAGUAGUAAAAGUAGGAUCUUCAGUAUUUGAGAGCUAUAGUGGAUCAGGACCACGGUCAGGCGGUGGGGGUGGGGGUGGGGGCGGAGGAUCAUCUGGGGGUGGAUCCAAGCUGGGGGUCAAGAAAGAGAGGACCGACGAGGAAACUAAGCAAGCUUUGGACUAUCUGCUUAGAGAUGAUUUCAUAGCUGGCCCUGUAUCAGAAGAGGGAAACAUGGCCCCUGUUCACCUACCGCUGUGUGUGAUAGAGGAUGUCAAACCAGCAAUCAAAGAUGACCCUGAACCUGUGGAUGUGGAAAUGACAGAAGAGGUCAAGGUCAAGCUGGAAGAGGCGUCGCUAAAGAUUCCGUCCAAAGCCAAGCUGACUCAGGAGACGUGUCAGCACAUGUUCUCUUCACUUAAGAGUGGGGACCCAAACCACAUGGUAUUUGUACAGUUUCCCGAUGUGAUGCCAGGGGUACCUGCUAGCUACGGAAAUGAAGAGGAUGCUAAAUCCAGCAAUAAAGAUCAAGUAAGACAGAAACUGAUAGCCCUCUGUCUUGGGCAGUCAUUAGUAAAACGGAUAAAAAAAACUGCCCUUUCUAUGUGACAGACACAGGUAAAACUCAAAAAAUGGCCCUCUGAUCAGUAAUGGUGCAGGUUAAUUACCAAAGAAAUCACUCUUUCAUUUGUAGGAAGUAAUUAGUGGUAAAAGAGAAACAAUUGACAUUUUUACUAAGUCAAUUGUUCAAGGCUUUUUAAAGUUGUUGAUCUUCAAACAUCAAUGUUUUAAAAAAAGGGUCUCUUUAAUGCAUACAUAUAUGAUCUUGCAUCAUGGUACUAAUGAACAAUGUCCAGAUGAAAGAUUUGUUUUAACAUAUCUAAAGAACUCUCUGAUUUGAUUUCUAGAAUUGUGUGGCAGAUGUGCAAUAGAUGAACAAUGUGAAUGCUGUGGUGUAUGUAUGAGAAGUAGAUCAGAUAUGGGUAUAUGUUUGAUGUAAUGUUAUUUUUUAUGCAGAAAGAGGCUUCUAAAAAGAUUGGUGCCAGUCCCCUUUCAGGAUUCUCGGAAGGUCACAUGGGUAAGCUGGUCAUACGCAAGUCCGGUAGAACCUCCCUAAUGCUGGGCAAUGUGGUGCUGGAUGUUUCCAUGGGAACCAAAUGUGGAUUUUUACAGGAUGUGGUGUCCAUUCACCCGGACAGCGGCGGGGGUGGGGACCUAAGUGUGUUAGGACAUGUGUCUCACAGGCUGAUCUGUACCCCGGACUUUGACUCUCUGCUGCGGGCCAAACAAGCCUGAUACCAACCCAGAGGCAAACAAGCCUGAUUCCACCCAAGUGAAGGAGGGAUGGACAGCAAACUGACCUCAACUCAGUGAGGGAGGGGUGGACAGCAGCCUGUGUGUGGUUCUCUCGUGUGGAUAAAAUAGACAUGAACUUGGUGUAUUUGAUCACUCUGUGCAUAGAUCAUUUGUUUGGAGAAUAUUGGUGAUAAACAUUGUGUAUAUGAUCACACUGUGUGUGGUCAGUGUGGUCCAUUUCGGGAGAAUCUUGACUAAGUUGAAGCUUUUGUGCUUAAUCCAUGAUGUGAAAUAUUGAUUGUAUUUGUUGUGAAGCAUUUCCAAUUGGUUUUACUGAAGUGUACUUGUGUUGUAAAGAUACAUGAGAAGUAAUUGAAUAAGUAUGUAUGAUUAUGAAUGUAGAUAAGAUAUCUAGUUGUUUCUGGUGCAAUAUUGAAGAAAUUGAGUUGUACUGUAAUAGAUGACAGAUUAAGUUGUUAUCUAAGAGUGAAAGAGAUUAAAUUAAAAGUUCUUUCAACGG